CAGAUUUCCAGUGCAAUCUGUCUUUUGAUGUAGAGGUCUGGUUUCAUCAAUUUCUACUGAAAUUCUCAUUUGCGGCUGCCUUGGACUGGGCUCUGCUGGUGAUGACACAUGGAGGAUCAGAGGAUUACGUUGUGCCCCUGUCCAGUUCUUGUGGAAAUGUGUUUUUCUGCAUUGCAUCUUUAAGAAAAACAGAAG